UGAGCGGUGCAUCCCCGUUCCUGGGCGAGACCAAGCAGGAGACGCUCACCAACAUCUCAGCCGUGAACUACGACUUCGACGAGGAGUACUUCAGCAACACCAGCGAGCUGGCCAAGGACUUCAUUCGCCGGCUGCUCGUCAAAGAUCCCAAGCGGAGAAUGACCAUUGCCCAGAGCCUGGAACAUUCCUGGAUUAAGGUAAGUGGGGAGGUGGGGGAGCUCCCUGGGCUUCCCGCCUUGGCCUUCUCGCUGGGGUCCCGGGGGGCCUUCAGCAUUUAAGGCUUGUGGAUGUGACAACCCCCAGUGGCUGGGGAGGGUCCCCAGAGGAGUGAGCCUGUGUGGCGGGGGUUGGGUCCUGGGCGUGGGAUGUCCAGCACCCGACAGACCUGGUGGCAUCCUUGGCUGGUGUGUGUCCAACGGGGCUGACUCCUGGGGCCAGGGCCGCAGCGUUUUUCUCGAGAGAGCACUCUCGGCUUUGCGUCGGGCUGGGCAGUCUCCGUCACGAGGCGUUGACUCUGCUGCCGGAUGAGCCCCUGAACCUCAGUUCACACUGGCAGGUGGGGGCUGGCGGGGCUGGGUGGCAUCGCGGGGACCCCGCUCAGGCUUCCCUCCUUCCUA
rnacentral:lncRNA from 1 species